GACGAACGCUGGCGGCGUGCCUAAUACAUGCAAGUCGAACGCUGAAGGAGGAGCUUGCUUCUCUGGAUGAGUUGCGAACGGGUGAGUAACGCGUAGGUGACCUGCCUGGUAGCGGGGGAUAACUAUUGGAAACGAUAGCUAAUACCGCAUAAUAGUAGAUGUUGCAUGACAUUUGCUUAAAAGGUGCAAUUGCAUCACUACCAGAUGGACCUGCGUUGUAUUAGCUAGUUGGUGGGGUAACGGCUCACCAAGGCGACGAUACAUAGCCGACCUGAGAGGGGGGACGGCCACACUGGGAAUGGGAAACGGCUCAGGCUCCUACGGGGGGAAGCAGUAGGGAAACUUCGGCAAUGGACGGAAGUCCGACCGCGCAACGCCGCGUGAGAGAAGAAGGUUUUCGGAUCGUAAAGCUCUGUUGUGAGAGAAGAACGAGUGUGAGAGUGGAAAGUUCACACAGUGACGGUAUCUUACCAGAAAGCGACGGCUAACUACGUG
rnacentral:rRNA from 1 species